rnacentral:rRNA from 1 species
UUAGUUUUUAUUUAUUAAUUUUUUUUGUUUAUAAUUUAAAUAUUAGAAAUAACUUUAAAAUUUAGUGUUUUAGUAUUGUUUAAAGAAAAAAUAAUUUUAAUAAUAGUUUAAUAGUAUUGUAAAAGAAAAUUGAAAUAAUUUGAAAAAAUUUUAUUUUAAAAGGAAAUUUAAUUUAUUGUACCU